GAUGAACGCUGGCGGCGUGCCUAAUACAUGCAAGUCGAGCGAACGGACGAGAAGCUUGCUUCUCUGAUGUUAGCGGCGGACGGGUGAGUAACACGUGGAUAACCUACCUAUAAGACUGGGAUAACUUCGGGAAACCGGAGCUAAUACCGGAUGAUAUUUUGAACCGCAUGGUUCAAAAGUGAAAGACGGUCUUGCUGUCACUUAUAGAUGGAUCCGCGCUGCAUUAGCUAGUUGGUAAGGUAACGGCUUACCAAGGCAACGAUGCAUAGCCGACCUGAGAGGGUGAUCGGCCACACUGGAACUGAGACACGGUCCAGACUCCUACGGGAGGCAGCAGUAGGGAAUCUUCCGCAAUGGGCGAAGGCCUGACGGAGCAACGCCGCGUGAGUGAUGAAGGUCUUCGGAUCGUAAAACUCUGUUAUUAGGGAAGAACAAAUGUGUAAGUAACUGUGCACAUCUUGACGGUACCUAAUCAGAAAGCCACGGCUAACUACGUG
rnacentral:rRNA from 1 species